rnacentral:rRNA from 1 species
UACGGAGGAUGCAAGCGUUAUCCGGAAUGAUUGGGCGUAAAGCGUCCGCAGGUGGCAAUGUAAGUCUGCUGUCAAAGCGUCUGGCUCAACCAGAUAAAGGCAGUGGAAACUACAUAGCUAGAGUAAGGUAGGGGUAGAGGGAAUUCCUGGUGUAGCGGUGAAAUGCGUAGAUAUCAGGAAGAACACCGGUGGCGAAAGCGCUCUGCUAGGCCGCAACUGACACUGAGGGACGAAAGCUAGGGGAGCGAAAGGG